UGGAUGACGACAUCAUUAAUUUUAAACAUGUAGCCAUGACCGUAGUUGUAGAAGGGAAACUAGUUCGAUGUACAUGUAGUAGUCAACUUGGUGAAUGAUACCAGUCUUCCAGACUUUGUGCAUCGAUCUUGUAUGGCCUGUUUGAUGUGAUACCAUCCAAGUUAGUUUUGACCAUGACGGAUGCGGGUUUUCCUGCAAUGAUAAUUUUAACCGUUGGGCGGCGCUUUUCUUGUCUUUGCCAUAGGAUGCACUCCCUUGGCGAAGCAAUCUUGAUGCUGUUUCACGGUCCACUCUGCAAUGACGAGAAGACAUAUCCAAACCAGAGACGUAGAAGUGACGGCCCAGAAUUGCAUGGAAUGGCGCAGGAUGGUCCACAAGAGACGUUGCCUUGAUGCAGACCACUUGACACAACGAUGAAGAGACCUUAUCAAGUAUCAAGAAACCGCAUUGAUCUGGAAGUCU